GACGAACGCUGGCGGCGUGCUUAACACAUGCAAGUCGAACGGAAAGGCCCUGCUUUUGUGGGGUGCUCGAGUGGCGAAAGGGUGAGUAACACGUGAGUAACCUGCCCUUGACUUUGGGAUAACUUCAGGAGACUGGGGCUAAUACAGGAUAGGAGCUCCUGCUGCAUGGUGGGGGUUGGAAAGUUUCGGCGGUUGGGGAUGGACUCGCGGCUUAUCAGCUUGUUGGUGGGGUAGUGGCUUACCAAGGCGUUGACGGGUAGCCGGCCUGAGAGGGUGACCGGCCACAUUGGGACUGAGAUACGGCCCAGACUCCUACGGGAGGCAGCAGUGGGGAAUAUUGCACAAUGGGCGGAAGCCUGAUGCAGCAACGCCGCGUGCGGGAUGACGGCCUUCGGGUUGUAAACCGCUUUCGCCUGUGACGAAGCGUGAGUGACGGUAAUGGGUAAAGAAGCACCGGCUAACUACGUG
rnacentral:rRNA from 1 species